rnacentral:rRNA from 1 species
GAUGAACGCUGGCGGCGUGCCUAAUGCAUGCAAGUCGAGCGAAUGGAUUAAGAGCUUGCUCUUAUGAAGUUAGCGGCGGACGGGUGAGUAACACGUGGGUAACCUGCCCAUAAGACUGGGAUAACUCCGGGAAACCGGGGCUAAUACCGGGUAACAUUUUGAACCGCAUGGUUCGAAAUUGAAAGGCGGCUUCGGCUGUCACUUAUGGAUGGACCCGCGUCGCAUUAGCUAGUUGGUGAGGUAACGGCUCACCAAGGCAACGAUGCGUAGCCGACCUGAGAGGGGGAUCGGCCACACUGGGACUGAGACACGGCCCAGACUCCUACGGGAGGCAGCAGUAGGGAAUCUUCCGCAAUGGACGAAAGUCUGACGGAGCAACGCCGCGUGAGUGAUGAAGGCUUUCGGGUCGUAAAACUCUGUUGUUAGGGAAGAACAAGUGCUAGUUGAAUAAGCUGGCACCUUGACGGUACCUAACCAGAAAGCCACGGCUAACUACGUGCCAGCCGCCGCCGUAA